UUGAAGGGCGACCUUAUCAAGAUUGAUAAAAUCAUAAGGAGUAUAGAUAUGCUGAACAGCAAAUGUCUUUUCCCUCAGGUGGUGGAGUUGAAAACCAGAGGGCAUAUUUUUAAGGUGAAAGGAGAAACAUCUUUUUUGGGACCUGAGAGAGUUCCCACCUGCAUGAAACAGCCACAUUUUACCCCUGUUUAUGAAAGCAUGCAUUCUCCCAUGAACAAUGUUCACAGUGGAUGAUUAUAGCGGGUGGAUGUUAGCCAGUGGCUUGCCUGAAGGAAUCUGCAGUUCUGCAGACUGUGCUCUGACAACUAUAGAUAUGACUGCAGUUUAUAUUUGGAUUUACACUGGACACCAUUUUCCAGUUCCAGGAAGUAUACCUAAGCCAGCUGUCCUGAGUGUUACGAUCAUGGCACCAGCUUUAAUGGUUCCGGUAUUAGCCUAUUUCCUCACGAAGGUAUUUAUGAAGAAAGCCAAGAUUGCAAGUGCAAGAUCUCGAGCAAGUUAAAGAAAUGGUGGCUGUCCAAGCUUCAGAAAUCUUCCAGCCAACUGCAGGAUCUUAUGAAUCAAGACAAAUUGUUCUGUGCACCCAUGAUGCUCAAAUGUUGAUGUGUAUCACCAUGUACUGUAUUAAAAUGCUGUAAUCGUGGGAGAAGGGUGCACACCAGAUGCAUUUCAAUGGAUAAAAUAAGAUUUAUUCUGAAUGACUGCAAUUUCCAAUGAAUAAAUACAUCAGAAAUA